CGCUACUUCCGUUGUUUCCAUAGAAACCAUGUUCACGAUCUCAAACAAAAAAGCCCAACACGCUUGAAAACUGUGUAGCUAUAACAUACGUUUUAAACCCCCUUGCCGGCGUUGAAAGACACCGCCAACCCAUAGUCACUGCUGUGGGCUGAAUGCUUGGCUGAAGCUGAAAGGGAUCCUCUCUGAAGCCGAGAUUGUGACAAGCCAACAUGGUACAUCUGACCGUAGAUCUGAUUGCUAAGUCUAGAAAGCACUUCAAAAAGAAAAGGGGCCUCUCCUUCCCAGAGUACCUCAAGACACUCACCCACCUCCACUUUUCUAACAAGAAUAUUGAAGAUAUUGGAGAUCUUUCAAUGUGUACAAACCUCACCGUUCUUUACCUGUAUGAUAAUAACAUCACUUACAUUGGCAACCUCAGCUUUGCCUCCAACCUCACGCAUCUCUAUAUGCAGAACAACAGCAUAACCCAUAUAGAUAAUCUGCACAAUCUGCAGAACCUCUCUAAAUUGUAUCUCGGGGGGAACAGAAUUGCUGUGGUGGAGGGCUUAGAGCAGCUCCAUCAGCUCAAAGAGCUUCAUGUGGAGAAUCAAAGACUGACACCGGGGGAAAAGUUGCUCUUUGACCCCAGGACUCUCGACUCCCUCGCUGAAUCUCUGUGUGUCCUGAAUAUUAAUAACAACAACAUCGAUGAUAUCAGAGACCUGGCGGUGCUAAAGGAGCUCCAGCAUUUUUCUGCUGCAGACAAUAAGCUGUGCAGUAUUGAGGAGCUAGAAGAUGUGUUCAGCCACUGGCCUCAGCUGUUUCUAAUGGAUUUGAGUGGAAAUCCUGUGUGUAAAAAACCAAAGUACAGAGACCGCCUGAUAACCGUGUGCACAAGCCUCGAGGCUCUUGAUGGAAGGGAGAUUAAUGACUUAACCAGAGAGUUUCUUAUUAACUGGAAAGCAUCCAGGGAGGCCAAGAAGAAAAAAAAUAAUAAGCAUGAUGUCUGGAGCACUCAUCCCUUAUUCUCUAACAAAUGAAUUUAACAUGGGUCAGGAUCUGCAGCCUGGUCACAGCCACGCUAACAUGCAGAGGUGGAAGCCACAGCAGUCUCUCAGGGCAGAAAAAUUCCAGUUCCUGUAAAUAGCCUUGAUCUUUUAGCUGUCUCAUCAGCUGCCUGCAGUCAUGUGGUUGCUUUAAGACAAACCUAAAAAUGCACCAAAAUCUUCAGCUACGACUAACCGUGCUUGUGCCUUGUUUAUCCAUCUUGAUUAUUAUAUCUGCAAAACUGCAGGCAACUCAGAGUCACUGCAGCUUCCUUCACCUAUGGCAUGUUUUUACAGCAUAUUCUAAAGUGAUUUCAUUAUAUUGAAAUAAUAAGUAACUAAAAUUAAUAACCAUUGUGGGGGAAAAUAAAGACAUUUAUCUAAUG